UGGGGCCUUAGCUCAGCUGGGAGAGCGCAUCGCUGGCAGCGAUGAGGUCAGGGGUUCGAUCCCCCUAGGCUCCAUC
rnacentral:tRNA from 1 species